UAAAUCUCAUUUUGUACCCUCUCCAUUUGGGAAUAGCCAUAUAUCGUUCACUCGUGUCGUUUUGUAUUCUCCUUAGUUCUGGCAAUGUCAAAACCAUAUCCUGAGGUUGAGUUUCUUAAUUAUAGGUUAUUCAAGAACCUUGUAAGUUCUGCUUUAUUUUGUCUUGCCUUUUUAUUUUCUUUUUAAAUAUAAAGUAAAUCCAUCUGGACAUACACACCUGCAAAAUAAUCAUGUUUAUCAGGUCAUUGCUUUUUUGAUGUUUCAAAUUAGCCUCUGUCCUCACUUCCCUUAUUUAUAUGAAUGAAACCACUAUUUCCCUGAUGACUCAGGUUCAGUCCUAGAGGUGGUCUUUGAUUCAUUCCUUUUUUGAGACUCUCUCAUGAAGUCAGCAAGUUCUGUUCUUUUUCUUUUUAUUCAUUUAUUCACUCACUAGAUAUUUGUUGGGCCAGGUACUGUGAUGGGUAAUGGAAAUAACAAGAUUAAAGACAUUGUCUCCACCCUCAGGGAACUCACAGUCGAAUAAUAAGAAUCAGGUGCAAGUAGUUUCCAUGUGGCAGUGCUGAGUCACACAGUGGGCACCAGGGAACACAGGGGAACUUUGGCCUGGACUGGGCUGCAGGUAAGGCUUCCUGGGGGAGGUGAUGCCUGAGGCAGUCUUGAAGUCAGCCAAGUUAAGAAAAUGAGACAAUUAAGUGAGGUCAAGAAGUCAUCAGGCAUAGAAGGAAAAGAGAGCAUAAUGACUUUUAGAAACUGGAAGCAUUUUAUGGUAAUUCCAACGUGUGAGUAGUAGAAAAGAGUGAGGCUAAUGGGAGAGGCAGGGGGCAGACAAAGAUGGGCCUGGGUAGGCCAAGGUCAGUUUGAAUUUUAUCCUAAAAGCAAUGGGGAGCAACAGAAGAUUUUAAACUGACAAGUGAUGUGAUAAGGAUAGCAGGGAAUGAAGAGGGACAAAUAGAGGCAGUCAAGAUGAGUUGGUGAAGAGAGGAGGCUUGUGCAAAAUGCUGAAAACAGGAAGUUUCAGAUUUAAUGGGGAACUGAUUUGGGGUGGGGGGUUGGGGUGAUUCCCCCUAGGCUUCUGACUUGGGCACCUGUAUGUAUGCCAGUGGGUGGUACUGGUUCCAGAACUCCUAGGAUCAGCUCUGGCACACACAAG